UACGUAGGGGGCUAGCGUUGUCCGGAAUCAUUGGGCGUAAAGAGCGUGUAGGCGGUCCGGUAAGUCCGCCGUGAAAGUCGGGGGCUCAACCCUCGAAUGCCGGUGGAUACUGUCGGGCUAGAGUGCGGAAGAGGCGAGUGGAAUUCCUGGUGUAGCGGUGAAAUGCGCAGAUAUCAGGAGGAACACCUAUUGCGAAGGCAGCUCGCUGGGACGUUACUGACGCUGAGACGCGAAAGCGUGGGGAGCAAACAGG
rnacentral:rRNA from 1 species